CCAGCCUGCACUGCAAAGCUGACGGGAAGCUCUUAGUCCAACCUCACUAAAACAAACUGGUGUGACCGGCACCUCUGUGUCUGGGAAGCCACUGAUGGGAUCACCAAGGUCACAAAAUGGGGCUCGCUGGGACAGAGCCAGCCCCAUCCCUGGGCACACGGGUGGCUGAAUCUACGUUGGGUUUCCCGGAAGGUACUGCUUUGGUGCAAGACUGAUGAGCAUCUCCAGUGAUGAGCAGCGGGAUGCUGGUGGCUAUGGGAUGCUAGGUGUGGAUGAAGCUGGUUUUUCACCCUCCUCUGCAAAGCAGAGGGACACCCCCGUGAUGUUUCAGUCGCCUCAGUGGUGGAGGCAGCAUCCAUAGGACAUCACGACCCCACACAGCUCAUGGUGGGAAGAACCACGAGCAAGAAAUCUCUCUCUGCUGAUGGCGCGCGAACCUUCUCUGGUGAUACGAGCACUGAUUUGGGAGGAGUGGAGUUUUUUACCCUGGGGCACUCCAGGAGAUCAAACUGAUGGUUUGGUUCAGUUUUAUAGCCAGAAGGGAAAUCUACUGUGCUUACUUUGAAUGCAACAUGCGUUCUUUUUUGUUUCCCUAAUCUUCCGGACUAAAAAGGGGCUAAAUGGAGCCUGAAGUAUAAUUUUCAGACAAAGAAAAUAUAAAGAAGAACAGUCAUCGAGGCUGCAUGCUAAUGGAAUAAUAGGACCUGCUGGAGGCAAGUUCAUAAACUGCGGGCUGUGUAAUGGAUCAUCUCCAGUCUCUGCCACUGACUCCUCAAGAGAGACUCAUUGACAUACCUUUGCAUGAAGCAAUUCACUGCUUCUUGGAUCUCCCAUGAUUGUAUGAUUGAAGACGCUACUUCGUCUUCAAGGCAAAUUUGCUGUGGCCUCUCCAACCUGUCCUGCAGACUGAGAGGGGGAAAUCUGCCCCCAAGAGUGGAGUUGUACCAGUCAGAAUGAGGAUUUGCAUCGGUGCCCCCAUGGUUCGCAGCACUCUGGUGGUGGCUGCUCACCCCAAAUUGGACUUGGGGUGCCCACCCAUGGAAUGUGAGCACUCCUAAACCAGAGGAUUUUUGAGGAGAGGAUAAAAAAAGGUGUGUUUAAAGCACUGGAAACGCUGCAGAGCAUCCAGAGAAGGAAAAAGAG
ensembl:lncRNA